CUUCCUGAGCCUGGUUGUGCUGGAGAUUUCUUCUGUUAAAAGAAGAGUUUUUCCUUCCCUGUCACGGCCUGGGGGAUCAGCAGGAUGCUGAUUGGCCAUUUCUACCUUUUCCUCUCUCUCUCCCCUCCUCUCUCCUCCUCUCUGUUGCCAGGGCGGAACUCAUUGUGGGUUCACGCCCACGGAAGCGGAACACACCUGAUGCCCAUCAAGGCGAUCGACAUUUAAGCCAGGAGGAGUCUGCUGGUCUUCGCUGGAUUGUUGUCUACCAUGCACCUCCUGGAUACCUUCCCUGUGUAAAUCAUUGUGUCGAGUGUGGAAAGUGGAACUGCGGUCGUGAGUGUGGAGAAUUGGAGAACGAGUGACUACCCCCUUUGGAUUUCCCUGGAGCCCCGUCCCUCACUUUGUUGUAUAUAGCACUGCCCUGCACUUCCUGUAUAUACACCUGGUGGAUUCUGUAAAUAAAUGCAGCUGAUUCUGGA